UACAGAGGUCUCAAGCGUUGUUCGGAUUCGUUGGGCGUAAAGGGUGCGUAGGCGGCGCGGUAAGUCGGGUGUGAAAUCUCGGGGCUUAACUCCGAAACUGCAUUCGAUACUGCCGUGCUUGAGGACUGGAGAGGAGACUGGAAUUUACGGUGUAGCGGUGAAAUGCGUAGAUAUCGUAAGGAAGACCAGUGGCGAAGGCGGGUCUCUGGACAGUUCCUGACGCUGAGGCACGAAGGCCAGGGGAGCAAACGGG
rnacentral:rRNA from 1 species